GGAGGAGCCAUAGCUCAGUGGCAGAGCAUCUCUUUGAUGCAGAAGGUCCCAGGUUCAAUCUUUGGCUUCUCCA